rnacentral:sRNA from 1 species
GGUUGGUGCCCCCUCCCUUCCUCACCACUUCAUGCACAUCCCUCCUGAAGCUGCAUGUUCGGUUGAAGAGGAUGACCUUCCCUGCUAAAGGAGGAUAAUUCUUCUGUCAAGGAUAUAUGAGUAUCUGUGCUCCCCUGCUAGAACCUCCAAACAAAUGCUCAAGGUCCACUGACUUUAAUCACAGGACAUGGUAAUACUAAGAGGCCCCCUAUGGAAUCUCCUGUAUUUCAGGCAAGUUCUUCUU